rnacentral:rRNA from 1 species
AAUAGAUACCCGGGUAGUCCACGCCGUAAACGAUGAGUGCUAAGUGUUAGAGGGUUUCCGCCCUUUAGUGCUGCAGCUAACGCAUUAAGCACUCCGCCUGGGGAGUACGGCCGCAAGGCUGAAACUCGAAAGGAAUUGACGGGGGCCCGCACAAGCGGUGGAGCAUGUGGUUUAAUUCGAAGCAACGCGAAGAACCUUACCAGGUCUUGACAUCCUCUGCCAACCCUAGAGAUAGGGCGUUCCCCUUCGGGGGACAGAGUGACAGGUGGUGCAUGGUUGUCGUCAGCUCGUGUCGUGAGAUGUUGGGUUAAGUCCCGCAACGAGCGCAACCCUUGAUCUUAGUUGCCAGCAUUCAGUUGGGCACUCUAAGGUGACUGCCGGUGACAAACCGGAGGAAGGUGGGGAUGACGUCAAAUCAUCAUGCCCCUUAUGACCUGGGCUACACACGUGCUACAAUGGAUGGUACAAAGAGCAGCGAACCCGCGAGGGUAAGCCAAUCUCAUAAAGCCAUUCUCAGUUCGGA